rnacentral:rRNA from 1 species
GCUUCCCUCUUUCUUCGUGCCUAAUACAUGCAAGUCGAGCGAACAGACGAGGAGCUUGCUCCUCUGACGUUAGCGGCGGACGGGUGAGUAACACGUGGAUAACCUACCUAUAAGACUGGGAUAACUUCGGGAAACCGGAGCUAAUACCGGAUAAUAUAUUGAACCGCAUGGUUCAAUAGUGAAAGACGGUUUUGCUGUCACUUAUAGAUGGAUCCGCGCCGCAUUAGCUAGUUGGUAAGGUAACGGCUUACCAAGGCAACGAUGCGUAGCCGACCUGAGAGGGUGAUCGGCCACACUGGAACUGAGACACGGUCCAGACUCCUACGGGAGGCAGCAGUAGGGAAUCUUCCGCAAUGGGCGAAAGCCUGACGGAGCAACGCCGCGGGAGUGAUGAAGGUCUUCGGAUCGUAAAACUCUGUUAUUAGGGAAGAACAAAUGUGUAGUAACUAUGCACGUCUUGACGGUACCUAAUCAGAAAGCCACGGCUAGCUACGUG